CGACGACGCGGCCCACCGCGGUUGCGGCAGCGGUGUAGGCGAGCGACGCAGAGGAGCGGUCAACACCGGCGUCGAGGGCAAGGUAGGCCGGGCGCAGUGUCCUCCGGCGUGUGGUGGCGCAUUGGACGGCGCAGGAGGCUGGGCGCGUCGAUUCGGGUGAGGGAAGUGGGGUCCAGAUCUGGUCGAGGACGGGGCAACCGGCGGCGGCGGCGUGGCUGACGCUGGACGGAGAGAGAGGCAGAGCAAGGCACGCCGAAUCGCUGGAUGGCGCACCUCCCCUAGCCUCCUUCCUCUCCCGGUCGUAGGGGAAGCAGGACGGCCACCUCUGCUGGACGCCCUUCCCUGGUCGACGACGAGCGUUGCGGGCUGACACGGUGGCGCCCUUCCGUUGUGGAGUACCGUACUAGGACGACGGCGGUUAAGGUCAACGCCCUGCUCGACGCCCCAUCUGCUGCUCGAUGCGCCCAUCCCCUCGCUGGUUGAGCUCAACGCCACCUUGCUCUGCCUCCGGCAGUCAUCUCAUCCAAUCUGGCUGGUCCGCUCCCCACCUCGGCGGCUCCUUCAGUCCGGCAGCACACCACGCUCAAGCCUCCACCACCCUCAAGGCUUUUCUUUGGUGUAUCAGGCAUUCAGGCUGGUGUAAUUUGUUUUCAAAAGUGAACAUGUUGUACAGUCCAAUGUAUCUACAAAAAUUAAGUUAUGAACGAGGACGGAUCCAAGGUUGAGUACUAGGUGUGGAACCCCUUCAGAUCCAAGUUGGCUGCUGUUGUACUCUGUUGUGGACAACAUCUGGAUUGUAUGUCUUUUUUGAUGAUUCCUUCCGGCGCCCUGUCAUACUCAUUGCUCUUCAGUUAACGAAAUGAAUGCACAGCAGCAACACAGGCAGUAGUAGAAUGGGGUAUAAUGAAUGUUUUGUUUGAGUCUGACUGUCA
rnacentral:rRNA from 1 species